rnacentral:rRNA from 1 species
UAAGGAAUAUUGGUCAAUGGGCGAAAGCCUGAACCAGCCAUGCCGCGUGCAGGAAGACGGCCCUACGGGUUGUAAACUGCUUUUAUUCGGGAAUAAAUCUUCUUACGUGUAAGAAACUGAAUGUACCGAAAGAAUAAGGAUCGGCUAACUCCGUGCCAGCAGCCGCGGUAAUACGGAGGAUCCAAGCGUUAUCCGGAUUUAUUGGGUUUAAAGGGUGCGUAGGCGGCUAAUUAAGUCAGAGGUGAAAUUUUGCAGCUUAACUGUAACAUUGCCUUUGAUACUGAUUAGCUUGAAUUAACUUGAGGUAGGCGGAAUGUGACAAGUAGCGGUGAAAUGCAUAGAUAUGUCACAGAACACCAAUUGCGAAGGCAGCUUACUAAGGUUGUAUUGACGCUGAGGCACGAAAGCGUGGGGAUCAAACAGGAUUAGAUACCCCCGUAGUCC